GUUUACAACAUAUAAAGUUUUAUAAUCACGAAGGGCAGUGAGCUAACAGUAGUCACUUAUUUAGGGUGUUUUUUAUAUGUAGCAUAAUAUAAGUAUUAGCAACUGUUAGGGGUGAUACGCCUUCAACCUGCCCGAUAUCUUGUUUUCUAGGAAAAGUAUUAAGUACUAAGACAACUUGGAAGUGCUAAGGCUCUCAAGAAAUAUAAAAUUGAGUGUAACUACUAUAAUUACCUAACGGUAUUUAUAUCAGAUGCAUAACUAUUAUUUAUACAUUAAUUAUUUAAUAUACUAGGAUGUGGAAUUAAACGUAAUAAUGUAUUAUUAAUGUAAACAUAAGUAAUAACAUUAACUUACUUAAAGGAACUCGGCAAAGUUAUUGCUCAACUGUUUAUCAAAAACAUAGUCAGGUGGUAAUAUACCUGAUGUCUCUCUGCUCAAUGGUUUACUAAAUAGCCGCAGUACCCUGACUGUGCAAAGGUAGCAUAAUCAUUUGGCUUAUGAUUGAAGUCUAGUAUGAAAGGGUGCAUGGGUAACUUCUGUCUCUAAUUAAUUCUAUUGAAAUUGCUUAAUAAGUGAAAAUACUUAUAUAUAUACAAUAGACGAGAAGACCCUAGAAAUUUUGUAUAGAUGUAUACUUAUGUACAAUAUAUUUUGUUGGGGCGACAAAGUAACAUUUAACUUACUUUAUUUAUAUGAAUUUACUGAUAUGCAAAAAUAAAUUACUCUAGGGAUAACAGCAUAAUUUAUAAUAGUUUGUGACCUCGAUGUUGGACUAGGGAGCGUAGUAUUUAGAAGAUACUACGCUAUGCUCUGUUCGAGCAACUAAUUCCUACAUGAUCUGAGUUCAGACCGG
rnacentral:rRNA from 1 species